UCUCUCUCACCAGACCAACAAACACCUAAACCAAACUCUUAAAAAAAAUUCAGAUCAAAUACUUUGAAAAAUGAAGAACAUCGUCUUUGUUUUUUCCAGAAUUUUGCAUAAAUCUCCCAAAUCAAAAUUCACCAACACGAAUCCCCCUCCACUUCACAUUGAUCAUGAAUCAUUCAAUUAAAUAGAUUUAAAACAUAAAAUGCAAAUCGCCCUUAGCCCUAAUUGAAAACCCUAGCCCCCUUUUUUAUAAUUUGAUUCAAUUACAACAGUUUUACAUAAAUCAAAAGGAGAAGGAACAAUAAAUGUGAAAGAACACAUAAAAAGACAUGGAAUAAGUGAAGUAAAUGAUGGAAACAAAUACCUCGUUGGAAUCUUCGUUUAUCGGGCUUCCUGCGAGCCAACCGACGAGGCCAAGACUCACCUCAGGAGUUUGUAGGGAUUUUUUUGCAUGUUUGAAAGUGUGGAUGUAACAGAGUUUUCAUAGUGAAUUUUAUUGUAUCAAGAUGUGUUAUGCAGUGAAAAUGGUGUUAGUUUAUAUAGGUAAAUUUGAGGGUGAGUGGUGAUACUCAUGAGGUGAAUUGGAGGUAAUUUUUUGGGGGAAUCGCAAUGAGGUUAGUUGGGCAGUGAAGGAUUCGUGACUUUGAUGGAGCAUGAUGUAUGUAUGUAGAUGCUUAUGAUGUAUGGAUGUAGGAAGAUCGUGGGGAGGAAAAGUUGUAAUGUAUGUAAAAUGUAUUUUGUAGUUCAUGUGUUUCACGUGUAUGGAUUGUAAUUUAAAAAAACCUUUUUUUCAAUUAUAUUUUUUGUUUUAGUUCUCAUGUAGUGAAUGUAUGAUGGGGGAUGUUGUUGGAAGAUGACAUGUGAAGUAAACAACCUGUAACUUGUGUAUUACUCAAUGCAAUGAAACAAAAUUUUUAUUAA